ACACAGGAGAUUUAACUUUAACUUUCCAUAACAGUCACGUCAUUUUUAUCAUAAAUGUAGUUACAGAAAUAUUGUCGUUAGUUUGUGAUUGGCUCGGGCAGGUGUGUGGGCGGGAUCUCGAUACUGCGUCUAACCAAGGUAGACCUCCACCUUCUGCCGUUUGACAUUGUUCGCCCACUCCUCCAGCAGCUGGGCUUUGAUGAUGGGCUCCAGGGAAGCCAGUGGCACCUCCUGCCGAGGCAGAACGAUCAUCAUGGACAUGUCCUCCCCCUCGUAGGGCAUCUCCAACACCUGGUACACACCGCCGGCUUCCUGUGAGCCGUCGCUGAACUCACCUGCUGUUGAUCUGGUCGGCCACGGCUGCCGAUUCGCUGAAGUCUACCGUUUCCACGUCAGCCCGGAAGUACUUCCUCAUCAGGUGAAGGAACUCAGGGUUAAAGGUGACGCCUUCCUGCAGGAAAAGGCUGUUGGCGAA